rnacentral:lncRNA from 1 species
CCUGGCAUGUAGUGUGUGUUCACUACAUGGUAGCAAGAAAAAAAGUACAACAUAAGUAUUUAUUUCAGCCAUCAGCACUGAUUUGCACUUCUGGUGUUCCUGCUUCCAGCCUCUGCUUUAGGCCCAGAAGGAAAAGAAAUUCAUAGGAGACAAUGAGUCUCAGACUCUUUCUUGGUUAUGAGCAAGAGUUCCCUGGAUCUGAGAAUGAAUAAAAGCCAUGAAACUUCAGAAGACAAAUCUGGCUGAUCAUCAGAAUCACCUGAGCAGCAUAUUAAAAUACAACAUGAUGGUUUUACCCCAGAUGUUCUGGAUGGUGUUCAGGGAUAUGCAUUUAAAGAAAGCUUCUGGUUCAUCAGUCUCUAGGGAGUCCAUGCUAAAUGGUGCCAGAAGAUGAUCCCAAGAGAAGGUGGCAAAGGAGUUAGUACGAACACCUGUAACCUCACAGUACCAUUUCCAUUUGUCUUCUCCAACAUCUGUGAUUAACAUCAGAUGACACAUCAUCCUGCCUUCUACUCCAGAAUCCUGGUGGGUUUGAUGAGAAGAAUGCAUGGCCAACGGUUGAGAGUAUUUGGCAAGGCAGGAUUCCUGUCUUACUUCAUAUUUCAUACUAAAUACAAAAAGACACCAUAACUCACCAGUACCAGAAAUUCAGUCUACUUGGUUUAUAUGGACAUCUGUUCUCAGAUUACUGGUGGUUUAUCUAACUGCUAUAAUAAAGGUUAAUUCUACAUUAAGGUGGUACUGAGUAUAAUUAGAAUUUUUAUAAUAGCCAUACUUUUUGAACUAGUAGCACCACUUCUAGCAAUUUACCUAUAUACCUCAAAUACAAAAAACCUUUAUACUCAAAGAUGUUCAUUCCUGCGUUUCAUACAUAUGGGUAAAAACUUGGAAGUCUCCAGAAGGGACGGAGGGCAGUGAGAUUUUGGCACAUUGUUCCAGACACAUGUAGUAAUGUCUCUGACUUUUUGGCUUGAACUCCUUACACAUAUACUUUGCUUUUCCUCUUUCGAUAGAGAAUGCUUAGAUAAAUAACGGCAUAUCCACGUGACAGAAUCAUGCCAGUAUAAAAAUUGUUUUGAACAGGCAGUUCAAAAAAGAAUAAAAAUGUACCAUAAACACAAAUAUUUAACCUCAUAAGUAAUAAAGGGAUAAUAAAAUUCCAUUUUCUACAAAUUUUAACCAAUAUUUUUAAAAAUUGAUAAUGCC